UUUACAACUAAUCUCUGGUGAAAUCCGCCGUUCGUGCCGAUUCUGUUGGAGUUCUUCUCACCAACAAAGGGAAACUGAAACCAUUACGGACUGUAUUCAAUCGUCGUCUUUAACGUCCUUCUUUACUCCUUCUGUCCACUCCUUCCACGAUUUAUCAUUCAAUGCACCUCUUCUUCUUCCAAUCCGUGAAUUUGCAGCUAUAAAUAGAAUAGAAUACGCCUCUCUCCUCCUUCAAAAAUCCAAAGCCGGUUGUUGUACACGGACGAGGUGUAGCUGCUGAGGUUUUGGGAGAUCGAGAAUGUAAAAAGGGGCGGCUAGGUUAUGGGUUUUCAUGGCGGAGAGUUUCAGCUUUCAUCAAUCAUCAUCAUCCUAGAUUCUUAUUAGUGGCAAUCAAAUCCGAUUUCAAGUCAUGGAUCUGAAAAUUAAUGAUGCGCUGGCGAUGAAAAUUUUAUCUUGAUACCAACAUAAUUUCACAAGUCGAAGGCUUGGUGAUGUUUACGACCGCAGUUGUGGCUGAUGCUGAGAACCAGAAGAAUUGGACUAAGUCUCCUUUUACUGGUUUCGCAUAGGGUGUGGCGUGGGAUAUAAUUUGAACUUCUUAUUGACACGCAAAAGUAAAACAAACAGAGUCGAUAGGCAGAGGAAAGAAAGAAUAACAGAAUUGAGGAUUUUUCAAA